rnacentral:rRNA from 1 species
AUUGAACGCUGGCGGAAUGCUUUACACAUGCAAGUCGAGCGGCAGCGCGGGGCAACCUGGCGGCGAGCGGCGAACGGGUGAGUAAUGCAUCGGAACAUGUCCAUGUCGUGGGGGAUAGCCCGCCGAAAGGCGGAUUAAUACCGCAUAAGCCCGGGAGGGGAAAGCAGGGGACCGCAAGGCCUUGCGCGAUUGGGUUGGCCGAUGUCCGAUUAGCUUGUUGGUGAGGUAAAGGCUUACCAAGGCGAUGAUCGGUAGCUGGUCUGCGAGGAUGAUCAGCCAACCUGGGACUGAGACACGGCCCAGACUCCUACGGGAGGCGGCAGUGGGGAAUUUUGGACAAUGGGGGCAACCCUGAUCCAGCCAUUCCGCGUGAGUGAAGAAGGCCUUCGGGUUGUAAAGCUCUUUUGUCCGGAGCGAAACGGGCGCGGCUAAUACCUGCGUCUACUGACGGUACCGGAAGAAUAAGCACCGGCUAACUACGUGCCAGCAGCCGCCGUAACAC